AUUGAACGCUGGCGGCAGGCCUAACACAUGCAAGUCGAGCGGAUGAAGGGAGCUUGCUCCUGGAUUCAGCGGCGGACGGGUGAGUAAUGCCUAGGAAUCUGCCUGGUGUGGGGGAUAACGUCCGGAAACGGGCGCUAAUACCGCAUACGUCCUGAGGGAGAAAGUGGGGGAUCUUCGGACCUCACGCUAUCAGAUGAGCCUAGGUCGGAUUAGCUAGUUGGUGGGGUAAAGGCCUACCAAGGCGACGAUCCGUAACUGGUCUGAGAGGAUGAUCAGUCACACUGGAACUGAGACACGGUCCAGACUCCUACGGGAGGCAGCAGUGGGGAAUAUUGGACAAUGGGCGAAAGCCUGAUCCAGCCAUGCCGCGUGUGUGAAGAAGGUCUUCGGAUUGUAAAGCACUUUAAGUUGGGAGGAAGGGCAGUAAGUUAAUACCUUGCUGUUUUGACGUUACCAACAGAAUAAGCACCGGCUAACUUCGUG
rnacentral:rRNA from 1 species